UAUUACUUCUUUAUUAAAAACGAAAACUGGAACGAUACAGAGAUUAGCAUGGCCCCUGCACAAGAAAAAAAAAUUAUGCUGGGUGUUGUUUCAGAAAAUAUAUUU